UAAUAAAAGAAGGAAGAAGAAGAAAGAAGAGUUAAGUGGAAACCUUGCUUUUAUUUCUUCACUCCUUUUUACAAAAUCCUCUUUUCCCGGCAAAGUAUCAUCCCAUUCCCUCCUUCCUUUCCAAAUUCCAAUGGCUCGCAAUUUCAUCUUCUUCUUCCUCAUCACUUUCUCUCUCCUCUCAUCAGAAACAAGUGAAGCUGCAAAAUUCCGACUAGUAAACAAGUGCAGACACACAAUAUGGCCAGGUCUUCUCUCCGGCGCAACUUCCCCACCUGUCCCCACCACCGGUUUCUCUCUCCUCACCGGAAAAUCCCGCACUCUCACCUUCCCCAAAUCAUGGUCGGGCCGAAUCUGGGCCCGUACCCUCUGCUCCGGCGACCCAUCCGCCGGAAAACUCACCUGUCUCACCGGAGAUUGCGCCUCCGGUAAACUCGGCUGCGGUGGCGCCGGCGCUAUUCCUCCUGCCACGCUGGCAGAGUUCACCUUAAACGGCGCAGGUGGGCUUGACUUUUAUGACGUCAGCCUCGUUGACGGUUAUAAUCUGCCCAUUCUGGUGGUGCCACUUGGCGGGCGUGGAGGUGAUUGUAGCCCAACUGGGUGUUUAGUGGACAUCAACCGCGCGUGUCCUAGAGAGCUUAGUGUUGGCGGCGCACGUGGGAGUGGUGUUGUCGCGUGUAAGAGCGCGUGUGAGGCUUUUGGGGACCCACAGUAUUGUUGUAGUGAAGGAUAUGAUACGCCUGACACGUGUCCGCCGUCGGUGUACUCGGUUUUUUUUAAGGAAGCUUGUCCACGUUCGUAUAGUUAUGCUUAUGAUGAUAAGACUAGUACUUUUACUUGUGGUUCUGCUGAUUAUAUCAUCGUUUUUUGCCCUCCUCCUUAUACCAGGUCUCAGAUCCGAGAUAUGCUUGUUUAUUCAGCUAUUCCGUCAGCUCUCUGAUCUUCCACACUUCAUUUGGAGCAGUAUUGCUACUCUGUCCUUACUGAAGCCAAAAGCUAACUCCACUUUAAAAGCUAAUAUGCAAGUGCAGUGCAGCAUAGUAGCACAUGUCUACUCCGCUAUGCGAUUUGAGUAUAAUCUUUCAAAUUUUGGGUUGUUCUAUUUUUUUAUAUCAUUGAUUCUGCUUUAGUAAAGCUCCAAGUUUUGGUGUUGGGCCAUAGAGCACAAAUAACCUUGGGGACCCAAGGUUUCCUUUAAACGUUUGGAUUCUCGAAACUCCAACUGUUUUAUUGCUAAUGCAGCCUGGAAAUGGCUGGCACCUUAUGUUUCCUCGUUUUCGAAACUCCAGCCGUUUCCUUCUAGUUCUUUCGUCUCGUUCUUUUCUCUCAUUUUUUUCCCUUUCGUAUUAUGAGAGAGAGCUGUGUAUAUGCCUCUUGGCUUUGAUAAGAACAAAUCAUUUGUUGAUACCCAUCAUAGUUGAUGCUGCUUUUUAUUCUUUUCUUUUUUUGAUUUUUAAUUUCUAACACCACCCUUUUGGCUAAUGGGAAAACUAGAUUUCCUCAGAUUUGCUGAUGAUGAUGCUGAUCAUUUGUUUUACCUUCCAUAACUCCGGUGCCCCUAUGAGAAGGGAAGAGGGUUGAAACUUAAGAGUUCCUUAGGGAACAUCACUGUCAUGAACAUGGGAUUACUUUGGCUAUGGUAAAAAGUCAAGUAGCUAGGAUACAAGUACUGAUUUGUUUGCAGUACUCAAGCAGGACAUCAUUAUUACUACUAGAUGGCCAUUUGAUUUUUUCUCAUAAUAAGAUGUUGGGAGAUGUAUGUGAAUUCCUGGUGACAUUAGACCUAAACAAAACAGGAGACAUUGAUAAUUGUUGACAUGAUGUAAACUAGUUGAAGUGGGGAAAAGUAGAAGUCCAGGCCUCUAGGAUAUACAAAUCCUUAAAUCUGAAAAAUGAAAAGGUUGUCCCUUUUUUAUUUUUAUGUUCUGUCUGAAAGCCGGAAAGGGAAAUAGUCUUUGCAUUCCAUUGUGUUUUACAAUGUUGGAGUAUUGGUAACUGAAGACAUGAUAGACUGGUUUCUAUAGACAUUGUAUUUCUGAGAAGGCUUUUAUCAUUAGUACAUGUAGAUGGGGUACUUUUCUCUGUUAUUUGUAUACUUUCCAUCUUGCUUUCAAUUCAAUAUAAUUGGUUUGACCUGUGGUCUGCAUGUAGUAUCUGUCACUGAAAUUAGAUGUAAGACUGCAUCCAUUGAAUGGUGGAUUGGAUCUGCAUAUGACAUCAGAAUAUCAGAUAGCUCUGAUAAUGCUAUCUUACUAAGUGUUUGAUCGUGUUAACUGUUAAGCCUUAUAAUUAAGCUAUCUUCGAGAUCUUAGCACUGCCCUUCCUCUACUUUUGUGGUUAUACGCAUGCAUUGUCUAUUUGUGUACCCCAGGUCAGAUUACCAAGAUUGCCUUUAGUGGUUAUAGCUUGUGAUCAUGAGUUCAAGUUUCAUUAGGGGUAAUUUACUGCCUUGGCCUAAUGGCCCAUGCCAGUUUCAUCACCUAAGGAAAAAAACGCAUCUUUGAGAUCUUAGGAACUCCACUUGCUGUUAAUGCAACAUAAUGAAUCUGGUGAAUUCUAAUGUUGAUACAAUAUAUGAUGAAUUACUUUUUUGUGUUUGUGAGAAAGAUCAUCUUAGCCACAGGUCAUAUUUUUAAACUGUUCUUUUCCAUCUUGCACUUAAAUCUAUUGCUUCUCUUGUGCCACUGAGCCACCUAGUGGUGAGCUGUAUAUUCUGAAUGUUUCUGGUCAUUGAGGAGUGACGUCUGCUACGCCUAGCACUCAAUCUUCUUAACCUUGCCUCGAGCACCAAAAUUAUUGCCUAAAAUUGCUGGGUAAGCGAAGAGUAAUGGCUGGUGAACUACCAUUAGUGAACAAAACAAUGAUGUACUUGCAUUCAAGAGGUAGCAGAGCAUCUUCAG